UACAGAGGGUGCGAGCGUUAAUCGGAAUUACUGGGCGUAAAGGGCGCGUAGGCGGUUAGAUAAGUGAGAUGUGAAAUCCCUGGGCUUAACCUAGGAACUGCGUCUUAUACUGUUUGACUGGAGUGCUGUAGAGGGUAGUGGAAUUUCCGGUGUAGCGGUGAAAUGCGUAGAUAUCGUAAGGAAGACCAGUGGCGAAGGCGGGUCUCUGGACAGUUCCGUGACGCUGACGGGCACGAAGG
rnacentral:rRNA from 1 species